AAAUUUAAUAACCCACACUGUUUCAUCAGCCUCAGCUAUUUGCAAUGCUUCUUGCAGGAAACUAAUUAGCUCCUGAGUCAACUUUAGAAGUGGAGGUCUCAAGGCCAAGCAAAAGUUCAAAGCUGUAACAGUCCCCACCUGUUGUUCAACUGUCUUUGACCGUAAUGGACGCCCUACAAGAGGCUGAAGCAAAGGUUGGUAUAGGGGUUCAAGCAACUCAGAAACCUCACUACCAGUCCUGCUUGCAAGAAGUGCUAAGCAAGACUGCACAAUCCUCCUCACAUUGAUAGACACAUUAGGAUUAAACAAUUCCAAUGCGAAGUAUUCA
rnacentral:misc_RNA from 1 species